rnacentral:rRNA from 1 species
UACAGAGGGGGCAAGCGUUGUUCGGAAUUACUGGGCGUAAAGGGCGCGUAGGCGGCCUGUUAAGUCGAACGUGAAAUCCCUGGGCUCAACCCAGGAACUGCGUCCGAUACUGGCAGGCUUGAAUCCGGGAGAGGGAUGUGGAAUUCCAGGUGUAGCGGUGAAAUGCGUAGAUAUCUGGAGGAACACCGGUGGCGAAGGCGGCAUCCUGGACUGGUCCUGACACUCAGGAGCGAAAGCGUGGGGAGCGAGUCCGG